CCUGACUAUUUUCUCUCUCCUGACUUCCAUUGUUCCCUGUUCUCUGUAGUCUCUCGUCGCCAGUUUCCUCUCAAGAGCUCCUUAUUCUCUCUCCUCCAUUGUUCCUGCCCUUCUCGAUUCUCUCUCCCUACCGCCACCAUCUCCUCAACAACUGCAACCACCGCGCCGGCACCAUCUUCACGCUUCCAUCAUCCACCGCGCCGCCCUUCGAUCUCUGACCGCCACCAUAUCUACGCCUUCUCCUAUUAACGGGUUCUUUUGAGAGUGAAGUCAUGCUUUAUAGCUUGAAAGAUGAUUCAUGGAGAAAGACUAAUUUCUUCUUGUAGAAGGCCUAACAGCGGAAGAAAUAAGAUAUGACAAGAAAAACAGCGUGAUUUUGCACACCAAGGUAGCGUAAGAAAAGAAUAUCUACCAAAACAAAUAGGCGGCUAUUGAAGAAGGUGUAGUAGUUGGUGGUGGAUGUACCCUUUUACGUUUGUCCUUGAAGAUUGAUGAAAUCAAAGAGCAGCUAGAUAAAUGAGGAGCAACAGAUUGGAGCAGAGAUCUUCAGACGGGCUUUGGCCUUCUACCCAAUAAGAAAGAUAGCGGAAAAUGCAGGUGUUAGUGGCAUUGUGGUUGUACAGAAGGUGCUUGCAAAUGAUACUUGAGAUACGGGUAAAAUGCUGCAAGUAACUGUUAUCAGGAUCUAAUGGACGAUGGGAUUAUAGAUCCUACAAAGGUGGUUAGGUGCUGCUUGGAGCAUGCAACAUCUGUGGCUAAGACAUUUCUUACAUCUGAUGUUGUAGCUGUUGACAUUGAGGGAAAACGGCCAUUUCCGAGGAGACCUCCAAUGCCACCACCAAUGCCCAUGUCAGGUGUCGGACCUCUUGGCAUGUAAUCGACUCAUACAACUCGGGAUGUGUCUUGUCAUAUAACCACCAAAACUUGGUUCUUUUCCGAGUUGGAGAUGACCUCAAGGCCUCAAAACUAUGAACCAAAUGGAAGUUAUGCUCUGCUUGUCACUCUCAGAUGACGGUUAUCUGUAGUGUCUGCCGGCUAUCAGAGCUUUUCUAGAAGAACUCGGAUUAAGGACUGUAACCAACAUAUCUUUCAUUCCAAAAUCCAAAUAUAUUGAUGUUUGUACAUAUUUUAAUAUAUAUGUAAUGAAUAGAACUAUGUAGUCUGCAAAGCUUACUAUUAUUAUUGGAGGCCUUUAUUUAAGUUCGAAUUUGUUAAUAUUCAAAAAAUUUGCUCAUUGCGUCUAAAUG